rnacentral:lncRNA from 1 species
CCAGAGAUAAUUAGUUCAUGCUUUCACACGCAAUAUUUCGGGUAAAGAUGGUUUAGAUAAUGGCAAACCAAAAUGGCAUUUACCAUAGAAAACAAAUACGGACAAUGUAUGAGCAGAUACAUAGCCAUUCUAUCACCAUCAGUAAUUGAAGUAGUAGUGGCAAAUGAAACAACCAAAAAAGUAAGCUUCUUAAAUAUAACAUGGCGACCGAGGGAGUGCGCCUUAAGUAUCCGGAAAGGGAUUUUAUCUCCAUGUAUGCAAGAUAGCUCGAGGAAUCCUUAUCAGAAAAACAAUAGAAAACUAUAAAACCUCAUCACCUCAGAAGAAACCUACCAAAUAAACACAUGUCAACCUAGUUAGAAUGUGAUUUUGAGGCACCAGAAUCAUCCCAUCCACAAAACUACUAGCUUGAUUGUAAAAUCGGGUUCCUUAUCCAAAUACAUCAAGAAAAAGAACAAUUUAUCUUUCUCCAUCUCCAUUUCUAGAUCAUGAAAUCCACCAUGUUUACCCAUUCAACCAGACAAAACCAUAAUAUCAUGUCAACUAUAGUUUACUCAAGCCAACCAAUUGUUCUCCGUUUUGACUAGCCAUGGCGGUGUCAGCUCGCGGAACCAAUAACCAUAGGUUUCCCCUGACAAAAUGGACCCCUUUAAAGAAACCCUGUCCAGGACUAGAGUUUCAAUAAGCUAAAAUUUCAUAUGCAAUCCCAGAGAAAGAAGUGAAGCAAUAGGAAUCCAAAAAAGUUUACCACGUUAAUACGCACGAUCGCUUACAUAUACGCGAAGUAUAUACAAAUUAUAGGCGUAACAGACAAGAUAGAGGCAGUACAUACCUGAAAUAUCCAGGGUUCAUCCAUCCGUCUCCCCCAAAUUCCUUG